GGUCAGAUAGCUCAGCUGGUAGAGCAGUGGAUUGAAAAUCCACGUGUCGCCGGUUCGAUCCCGGCUCUGACCACCA
rnacentral:tRNA from 1 species